GGCACGUUGGUGGAUUGAACGGGAAGGUGUGGACAUCAGUGGGACCACCAGACAUCUUGGUGCCCAGGAGAUUCUGAAGCUGCUGGUCUGCAGGCCUCUUGUUGAGCAGCACGGAUUGAAUACUGGUGGUUGCUUUUUGUUUUGCUUUGUUUUGCCGGAAUAAAGAAUAGGCCACCCACCACUGGUCGUUUCUGCUCUACAGAAGGUACUCGUCUUUCUCCACCACAGAAGGGACGCCUGCAGUCACUGGAAAAUGUCUAGGUAGCACCUUGGGCCUUGGUGGAGUGUCGUAUUUAUGUGACACGAACAGGACACGAGCUUUCCAUCACAUACACACAUAAUGCCGGAAUCUUCCAUGUGGAAGAAGAUGGAGUG